rnacentral:rRNA from 1 species
CAGUCCGCCCAGGGUGAGUCGGGACCUAAGGCGAGGCCGACAGGCGUAGUCGAUGGACAACGGGUUGAUAUUCCCGUACCCGUGUGUGCGCGUCCCUGACGAAUCAGAGGUACUAACCACCCAAAAGGUAGGCCACCAAACCCUUUCGAGGGGGCGGGACCUACCGGCUGCGUGGAACCUUCUCUGGUAGUAGUCAAGCGAUGGGGUGACGCAGGAAGGUAGCCGUACCAGUCAGUGGUAAUACUGGGGUAAACCUGUAGGGAGAACGAUAGGCAAAUCCGUCGUUCACUA